GCCGCGGUGGCCUAGCGGUUAUGGCUCUCGACUGCUGAUCGCAAGUUCGCGGGAUCGAAUCCCGGUCGCGGCG